CACCUCUAUUUUGCUUGUGAUUAUACAAAAUGGAUAUGGAAGGAGAUUCUCCAGCGAUUUGAACUCAAUAGACUGCCGCAACUAAACUUGCACCAAGAACUAGGCGACCUCAUGCAAUGUUUCUCAAGAAAAGGGUCUCUCACACAACUGGCAAAGGUUACUUUCAGAUGCGCUAUUUGGUGGAUGUGGAAGGAGAGAUGUAACAGAAUCUUUGAAU
rnacentral:lncRNA from 1 species